UACGUAGGGUGCAAGCGUUUGUCCGGAAUUAUUGGGCGUAAAGAGCUCGUAGGCGGUUUGUCGCGUCUGCUGUGAAAACGCGAGGCUCAACCUCGCGCCUGCAGUGGGUACGGGCAGACUAGAGUGCGGUAGGGGAGAUUGGAAUUCCUGGUGUAGCGGUGGAAUGCGCAGAUAUCAGGAGGAACACCGGUGGCGAAGGCGGGUCUCUGGGCAGUAACUGACGCUGAGGAGCGAAAGCGUGGGGGAGCGAACAGG
rnacentral:rRNA from 1 species